UACGGAGGUGGCAAGCGUUGUUCGGAAUUACUGGGCGUAAAGGGCGCGUAGGCGGCAAGGCAAGUCAGGUGUGAAAGCCCCGAGCUUAACUCGGGAAUUGCAUCUGAAACUGCUGUGCUUGAGUUCUGGAGGGGGUAGUGGAAUUCCCAGUGUAGCGGUGAAAUGCGCAGAUAUUCGCAAGAACACCAGUGGCGAAGGCGGCUGACUGGUCCGGUUCUGACGCUGAGGCGGCGAAAAGCGUGGGGAGCAAACAGG
rnacentral:rRNA from 1 species